UGCAAGUCGAGCGAAUGGAUUAAGAGCUUGCUCUUAUGAAGUUAGCGGCGGACGGGUGAGUAACACGUGGGUAACCUGCCCAUAAGACUGGGAUAACUCCGGGAAACCGGGGCUAAUACCGGAUAAUAUUUUGAACCGCAUGGUUCGAAAUUGAAAGGCGGCUUCGGCUGUCACUUAUGGAUGGACCCGCGUCGCAUUAGCUAGUUGGUGAGGUAACGGCUCACCAAGGCAACGAUGCGUAGCCGACCUGAGAGGGUGAUCGGCCACACUGGGACUGAGACACGGCCCAGACUCCUACGGGAGGCAGCAGUAGGGAAUCUUCCGCAAUGGACGAAAGUCUGACGGAGCAACGCCGCGUGAGUGAUGAAGGCUUUCGGGUCGUAAAACUCUGUUGUUAGGGAAGAACAAGUGCUAGUUGAAUAAGCUGGCACCUUGACGGUACCUAACCAGAAAGCCACGGCUAACUACGUGCCAGCAGCCGCGGUAAUACGUAGGUGGCAAGCGUUAUCCGGAAUUAUUGGGCGUAAAGCGCGCGCAGGUGGUUUCUUAAGUCUGAUGUGAAAGCCCACGGCUCAACCGUGGAGGGUCAUUGGAAACUGGGAGACUUGAGUGCAGAAGAGGAAAGUGGAAUUCCAUGUGUAGCGGUGAAAUGCGUAGAGAUAUGGAGGAACACCAGUGGCGAAGGCGACUUUCUGGUCUGUAACUGACACUGAGGCGCGA
rnacentral:rRNA from 1 species